rnacentral:rRNA from 1 species
CGAGUUGUAAUUUGCAGAAGGUGCUUCGGGUGCGGCGGGGGUUCAAGUUCCUUGGAACAGGGCGUCAUAGAGGGUGAGAACCCCGUAAAUGACCAACCGCCAACCCCGUGUGAAGCCCUUUCGACGAGUCGAGUUGUUUGGGAAUGCAGCUCUAAAUGGGUGGUAAAUUUCAUCUAAGGCUAAAUACCUGCCAGAGACCGAUAGCGCACAAGUAGAGUGAUCGAAAGAUGAAAAGCACUUUGAAAAGAGAGUCAAACAGUACGUGAAAUUGUUAAAAGGGAAGCGCUUGCAACCAGACUCGCUCGCGGGUGUUCAGCCGUCCCCAGGGACGGUGCAUUCUCCCGCGAUCGGGCCAGCAUCGGUUUUGGCGGCCGGACAAAGGCCUUGGGAACGUAGCUCUCUUCGGGGAGUGUUAUAGCCCGGGGUGCAAUGCGGCCUGCCGGGACCGAGGACCGCGCUUUUGCUAGGAUGCUGGCUUAAUGGCUGCCAGCGACCCGUCUUGAAACACGGACCAAGGAGUCGACCUACCGCGCGAGUGUUUGGGCGUUAAACCCAUGCGCGUAAUGAAAGUGAACGGAGGUGGGAGCCCUUUGGGUGCACCAUCGACCGAUCCUGAUGUCUUCGGAUGGAUUUGAGUACGAGCGCCGUGGGUCGGACCCGAAAGAUGGUGAUCUAUACGUGAAUAGGGUGAAGCCAGAGGAAACUCUGGUGGAGGCUCGCAGCGGUUCUGACGUGCAAAUCGAUCGUCAAAUUUGCGUAUAGGGGCGAAAGACUAAUCGAACCGUCUAGUAGCUGGUUCCUGUCGAAGUUUCCCUCAGGAUAGCAGUAACGAAAACAGUCUCAUGAGGUAGAGCAACGAUUAGAGGCCUUGGGGUUGAAACAACCUUAACCUAUUCUCGAACUUCGAAUAUGUGAGAAGUCC